CCAGAGUUUGUGUGUAUUGGGUUGUCAUACGGGGAUGCCAGGUUAGUGUGUAUUGGGUUGUCAUACGGGGAUGCCAGGUUAGUGUGUAUUGGGUUGUCAUACGGGGAUGCCAGGUUAGUGUGUAUUGGGUUGUCAUAAGGGGAUGCCAGGUUAGUGUGUAUUGGGUUGUCAUAAGGGGAUGCCAGAGUUAGUGUGUAUUGGGUUGUCAUACGGGGAUGCCAGGUUAGUGUGUAUUGGGUUGUCAUAAGGGGAUGCCAGAGUUAGUGUGUAUUGGGUUGUCAUAAGGGGAUGCCAGGUCAGCCACUGGUACGUCCCGUUUCAUUCUUCCCUUCUAUGUUCCUUCUUCUUUUGAGUCUAUUUUUCUAUCAGAGUCUUCCUAUAAUGUCCUGCACAAACCAGAAGUUGUACAGAUUUUUUUUAUUUUGUGAAUUAUAUUGUAGAUACGUAUUAAUAUUGCAGUUGUUGAUAAUAAUAUUAUUAUUAUGUCUGUGACAAUUUUGUUGAGUCUUUUUCAAUAAAAAGUAACAUAAAUCCUCAAA